rnacentral:tRNA from 1 species
GCCGAAGUGGUGAAAUUGGCAGACACACAGCCUUGAGGGGGCUGCGGGAGUAAUCCUGUAGGGGUUCAAAUCCCCUCUUCGGCACCA